GACAGAGGGGGCAAGCGUUGCUCGGAAUUACUGGGCGUAAAGGGCGCGUAGGCGGGAUGGCAAGUCGGUCGUGAAAUCCCUCGGCUCAACUGAGGAUCGUCGAUCGAUACUGCCGUUCUUGAGGAUUGCAGAGGAGACUGGAAUUCCCGGUGUAGCGGUGAAAUGUGUAGAGAUCGGGAGGAACACCGGUGGCGAAGGCGGGUCUCUGGGCAAUUCCUGACGCUGAGGCGCGAUAGCGUGGGGAGCAAACGGG
rnacentral:rRNA from 1 species